rnacentral:tRNA from 1 species
GUUGAUUUGGCAGAUUAGUGCAUUAAUUUUAGAUUUUAAUAAAGUAAUUUAUAUUACAUUCAAUA